rnacentral:lncRNA from 1 species
GCUGUCUCUCUCUGUCAAAUAAAUAAAAUCUUAAAAAAAAAAAAAAGAACUCCUGAGUUUUAGCUGGCGUAGUAUUCUUAUAACCAGUUGCAGUCAUAUAGCCAAAUUCUGGCAAAUAAAAGCUGAAAAGAAGGAAUGUGUGUUUGGGUCAUUCUCUCAGGGUCAGCUAGAUAAUUUGCAGGGUUCAAUGAAGAGUGAACAUGCAAGAAUCUUGUUAAAAAUUUAUAAGACUUUCAAGAUGGGGGGGACAGUGUCCAUAGGCAUUCAGAAUGGUUCAGCAUUUGACCUACCGUCGUAGGCUGUCCUACAAUACAGCCUCUAACAAAACUAGGCUGUUGGGAAAGCACCAAAAUCUGCAUGUGGCGUGUGCCCAGGCCGACUUCAAGGAGAUCAAGGGUGCUUUCCUUAUUGAGGAGCAGAAAAUCAUUGUGAAAGUGUUGAAGGCACAAGCACAGAGUCAGAAAGCUAAAUAAAAAAAUGAAGUUUUUUUGAGUAAUAAAAAAAAUCAAAAGGCUAGAUCUGUUAAAAAA